rnacentral:lncRNA from 1 species
GCUCUUUUAAAUUUUGCCUUUUUUUUUUUUCAGUUGAGAAGGAUGUGUCAAGAAAAAUCUCUUUCUAUACUCUGGCCUCCAGAGAAAGGGGAAAGUGUUUCUCACAGUACAGCCACAGGUGAACAAAGAAGGUUGCACCGAACUAGCGACAGAGUCCAAAUAUGUGUUCUGCCCCAUUCAUGCUGAUUUGCCAGAUGCUGGUAAGAUUUCUAGCCUUAUCACUUAACUGGCCAGGCCUUUUGGGGAGCUUUAAUUCAGAUCCUUCUGCCUCAGUUUCCUCAUCUGGAAUUAUGAACUGAUGAUAGUGAAAGUCUGAGGAACUCCCAUAAAACACAUGAUGUGGCACCUAGAGCAGAGGCUCGCUCCUGGAAGGCCUCGUUCGUUCAUCAUGGACUCUGGACCCCACUCCCAGAGAUGCUGAUCCAGUAGGUCUGGGUGGGGCUCGAGAAUUUGCAUUUCUAAUAAGGUCUCAGGUGAUACUAGUCCAAGGGACCACACUUUGACAAUCACUAGUCUAGAAGAUAAAAGAUACCUGAGAAUUUUGAUUUUCUUCUUCCAUGGCUGGAAUAAGUUGCUACAUCAGUAUAAGCCCCUAAAAGGCCCUAGUGAUGUUUUAUUCCCCCAUAAUAUCUACCCACCUGGAAACUAACAUAAUCAGUAUUGAGGAGUGAAUUAAAUGGAGCUUCUGUUGUCUACUUGGUCAGUGAACAGAAAAAAAAAAAAAAACACUGUUGUCUACUUGGUCAGUGAACAGAAACCAAAGCCAGACUGCUUAUGAUAUGACCCCAGCUCUGCCUCUUAUUGAUAUAUGUCCGUGGGCAUAGUUGUCCUUGGGCAAGUUUUAAACUCCUCAACUUCUGUUUGCUCAUUUAUGAAAUGGGUAUAGUAAUAUG